UAACCUGCCCAAGAGAUCGGGAUAACACCUGGAAACAGAUGCUAAUACCGGAUAACAACAGAUGAUGCCUAUCAACUGUUUAAAAGAUGGUUCUGCUAUCACUCUUGGAUGGACCUGCGGUGCAUUAGCUAGUUGGUAGGGUAACGGCCUACCAAGGCGAUGAUGCAUAGCCGAGUUGAGAGACUGAUCGGCCACAUUGGGACUGAGACACGGCCCAAACUCCUAAGGGAGGCAGCAGGC
rnacentral:rRNA from 1 species